rnacentral:lncRNA from 13 species
CUCCCUCUGAAUUUAUCAACUCUUCUCUCCUUGGCACAGUUCCGGAUUCCAGCCUAACCUCAGCCCUUGCAGCCUCCGCCUUGCAGAGAGGCCCCCUCCUUUUUUUUUUUUUUUUCAGAUGGAGUUCAGUCUGGACUGCAGUGGCACGAUCUUGGCUCACGGCAACCUCUGCCUCCCGGGUUCAAGUGAUUCUCCUGCCUCAGCCUCCUGAGUAGCUGGAACUACAGGUGCUGCCACCACAGCUGGCUAAUUUUUGUAAUUUUUGUAGAGACGGGGUUUCACCAUGUUGGCCAGGCUGGUGUCGAACUCCUGACUUCAAGAGAUCCACUUGCCUCCGCCUGCCAGAGUGCUCUUUCUUCCUUCCUUCCUUCCUUCCUUUCUUUCUUUCUCUUUCUUUCUUUCUUUCUUUCUUUCUUUCUUUCUUUCUUUCUUUCUUUCUUUCUUUCUCUCUCACUUUCCUUGGUCUUCCCUCCCUCCCUCCCUCCCUCCCUCCCUUCCUCCCUUCCUUCCUUCCUUCUUUCUCCGUCUCAGGAUUAGCAGUCGCCACAGCCCCCAUCACAAUCCUCCUUGGAGACACGCAAGAUCCAAGCGAAUGAAAGCACCACCCCAGGUAUGGCGGGUGUAAGUUGGACACUGGCUGCGGGGGUGACAGGCCUGAGCCACCGCACCCGGCCCCAACUUCCCCUUCUAGACACAACGCUUUGGGGAGGGCAGGGACACGCGUUCCAUUUCACGAAGAUGUCAGAUGUGCCAGGAGUGGGCACAGGAGCCCUGACAAUCUGAGGACUGUAUUCUAGUUUUAAAAUUAUUAUUAUUAUUUUGCAGAGAUGGGGUCUUGCUAUGUUGCCCAGGCUGGUCUCGAACGCCUGACCUCAGGUGAUCCACCUGCCUCAGCCUCCCAAAGUGAUGGGAUGACACGCGUGACCCACGGUGUCUGGGAAACGCAGGGCGUUCUGGAUUCGGAAAGGAUCAAGCGCAGAUGCCCCGGGCCCCGGCGCCCGUAUUGAGCUUUGUGGGUAAGUAACGGGCUGUGUCUGGGAUGGGGGCGAUGAGGAGGCCGGAUGCAGCUGGGCCUACAUCCUGCAGUUUCACUGUAUCUAGAAGGGGAGGAUGGUGGCCAGACGCGGUGGCUCAGGUCUGUCAUCCCGGCACUUUGGGAGGCCGAGGCGGGUGGAUCACUUGAAGUCAGGAGUUCGAGACCAGCCUGGCCAACAUGGUGAAACCCCAUCUCUACUAAAAUUACAAAAAUUAGCCAGCUGUGGUGGCAGCACCUGCAGUCACAGCUACUCAGGAGUCUGAGGCAGGAGAAUCACUUGAACCUGGGAGGCGGAGGUUGCAGUGAGCCGAGAUCACGCCAUUGCACUCCAGCCUGGGGGACAGAGUGAGACUUGUCUUAAAACAGAACAAAAGAAAAGAAGAAGGGAAUGGAGGGAGGAGGGAAGGAGAGAGGGAGAGAGGGCAGAAGAGAGAGGAAAGCAGAGAGAAAGAAAGGAAGGAAGGAGGGAGGAAGAGACGGAGGGAGGGAGGGAAGAAACUUGCCUAAAACCUCCCAUCAGGCCGCCUGAACUG